GAUAGAAGAAAGAAUUGGACUCCUGCUUUUAAAUGAAAAUAUGUAUACAAACCAGCCAAUAUGGAUCUACUCCUGUCAUAUCCCUGAAUCAAGAGCCUAAAUCCUGAGUCUGAGACCCACCACUUCUGCAGAAAAGAAAUCGCUUAUUGAUUCUCAUCAGAAUAUUAAAAAAACGUGCUGGGCUGGAGGUACGCGAGAGGCUAUGGGAGUGGAGAGGAAUACUCCCUUCUGACUUCGUUGGAGAAAUGUGGGCUGAUGCCAGGGCUCUGGAGGAGAUGAUGCUGAUAGAAGGAUCUAGGGGACAAAGGCAGGGAAAAGGCAUUCCACGCAUUGGGAGACUAGUGUCAGGAGACAGGUAUGGAGAGCUGCUGGUGGGGAUCUAAGGGCAGUGGGUGCUGCUGGAGUAUGGUGUGAGGCAAGGUACGCUGGGGGUGGAGGCAAGGGCCCUCCUGGGCCGUCUUAUGCGCUCUGCUGAGGAAUGUGGCUUUGCUCUGUGCAGAGGUGCUGAGUUGCCGCUGCAGGGAUUUGGGCAGGGGAGCCAGGGGAGCUGUAACCCUCACUAUUGCCUUCAUGCUGCACGAUGUGUCUGACCAAAGUUCGGUGGAUUAAGCAACAGCCCCACACUCUUGCACACAGAUGCGAGUGUUCCCAAGGGGAGGGAGGCUCCACCUCAGGGUGCAGGUCUGUGGGAUGCCUGGGGUGGCACUGGGUGGUGCUGAGACCCAAGGAACAGCAGCUACCCAAGGUCAGCUCUCCUGCCAGGGACCCUGCAGAAGUACAGGGCGGCAAGGGGACAAACAGAAGGGACCCACCUCAGGUGGCACCCACAUUCCAUCAGCACCACAAGCCCAUGGCCAAGCACAACAUCCCUGGGGAGGGAAGAUAAACUCUGCCCCCCUCCGUGGGAGUUCCUGCAAAGCCGCAUGAGGAGAGGGGGGCUGAGCCACACUGGGAGGCUGGGAAGAACGCUGAACAAUGAUUCAGUCUACACUGGGGGCGAAGCAGCUGCACUUGACUUUGUAGAGAGAUCACUUGGGCAGCUGUGUGGAGAGCAGGUUCAAGAGAGGCGAUGCUGGCAUCAGAGGGACCAGUGAGCAGGACCAGGUGAGACCUAGUGAGAGCCUGGGCUGGGCAACAGUGAGUGGAGAGAGGUGGUUCCAGCGACAGCUGAGAUAAAACCAUCAUGGCUUAAGGACUGGGAGUCACCUACGGCUGGUUUUUAGGUGCCUUCCUGUACCGUGCCCAGAAGCUACUGCCAGGUCGCAUACAAAACUGCUGGUUGCCCAUCACAUAGCUCUUUUCUUAUUUCUUAUUAAAACAACUUUGAUUUUA